rnacentral:rRNA from 1 species
ACGUAGGGUGCGAGCGUUAAUCGGAAUUACUGGGCGUAAAGCGUGCGCAGGCGGUUCGCCAAGUCAGGUGUGAAAUCCCCGGGCUUAACCUGGGAAUUGCGCUUGAAACUAGCGGGCUUGAGUGCGGCAGAGGGGGGUGGAAUUCCACGUGUAGCAGUGAAAUGCGUAGAUAUCUGGAGGAACACCGGUGGCGAAGGCGGCAUCCUGGACCGGUAUUGACGCUGAGGCGCGAAAGCUAGGGGAGCAAACGGGA